rnacentral:rRNA from 1 species
CACGUAGGGUGCGAGCGUUGUCCGGAAUUAUUGGGCGUAAAGAGCUCGUAGGCGGUGUGUCGCGUCGGCCGUGAAAACCUGCAGCUUAACUGUGGGCGUGCGGUCGAUACGGGGCAUCACUGGAGUUCGGCAGGGGAGACUGGAAUUCCCUGGUGUAGCGGUGAAAUGCGCAGAUAUCAGGAGGAACACCGGUGGCGAAGGCGGGUCUCUGGGCCGAUACUGACGCUGGAGGAGCGAAAGCGUGGGGAGCAAACAGG